rnacentral:rRNA from 1 species
UACGUAGGGACCAAGCGUUGUUCGGAUUUACUGGGCGUAAAGGGCGCGUAGGCGGCAAUUCAAGUCAGCUGUGAAAUCUCCGGGCUUAACUCGGAACGGUCAGCUGAUACUGCUUUGCUAGAGUGCAGAAGGGGCAAUCGGAAUUCUUGGUGUAGCGGUGAAAUGCGUAGAUAUCAAGAGGAACACCUGAGGUGAAGACGGGUUGCUGGGCUGAUACUGACGCUGAGGCGCGAAAGUGUGGGGAGCAAACAGG